rnacentral:rRNA from 1 species
CGCGUAGGCGGCCGCCUAAGUCAGACGUGAAAUCCCCAAGCUUAACUUGGGAACUGCGUCUGAUACUGGGUGGCUUGAGUUCGGGAGAGGAAUGUGGAAUUCCAGGUGUAGCGGUGAAAUGCGUAGAUAUCUGGAGGAACACCGGUGGCGAAGGCGGCAUUCUGGACCGAAACUGACGCUGAGGCGCGAAAGCCAGGGGAGCAAACG